AUGUCAUCUUUCGUCGAGCGCUACAUAGUUGAACUUGAUCAGGUCCCCUCUCAAGUUGCUAGGCAAAACCCUGUUGAGGGGGGCCGACAGAAUGCACCCCGGCGAUGGUUGCCGUCGACGGAGGGAGUAGUUAAAAUCAAUGUUGAUGGUGCAUUGGCGUGCAAUAGGAGAGAAGGUGCAGUCGCUGCGGUGUGUCAUGAUCACACUGGGACGUACCUUGGAUCCUCCGAAGUGGUAUUCAGUGGGAUCAGAGAUCCAACAAUCCUGGAAACUUAUGCAUGUAGGGAAGCUUUGGCUCUGGCGGAUGAUCUUCUCGAGCGGAGGCUAAAAGUGGUGUCAGACUGCCUGGGAGUGGUGAAUGAUAUUAACAAGGGCACGAGAGGAGCCCAUGCCGCCAUUGUUCAUGAAAUAAAAAGUCAUUGUAAUAGUUUUGCUUUCUGUUCUUUUGUUCAUGAGGCUAGAAACCACAACUUCGAGGCUCAUAACCUCGCCAAGUUUGCUUGUAACCUGAAUGUAGGUAGGCACGUAUGGCUGGGUAAUCCCCAUGACCCUGCACGUGUGCCUAUGAACAUCCUUGAGUAA
rnacentral:rRNA from 1 species